rnacentral:rRNA from 1 species
AGAACGAACGCUGGCGGCAUGCCUAACACAUGCAAGUCGAACGUGAUCCAGGCUUCGGCCUGGUGAAAGUGGCAGACGGGUGAGUAACGCGUGGGAACCUGCCCUGUGGUAGGGAAUAACCGUGGGAAACUGCGGCUAAUACCCUAUGAGUCCUUCGGGAGAAAGAUUUAUCGCCAUAGGAGGGGCCCGCGUCGGAUUAGGUAGUUGGUGGGGUAACGGCCUACCAAGCCUUCGAUCCGUAGCUGGUCUGAGAGGAUGAUCAGCCACACUGGGACUGAGAUACGGCCCAGACUCCUACGGGAGGCAGCAGUGGGGAUAUUGGACAAUGGGGGCAACCCUGAUCCAGCAAUGCCGCGUGGAUGAUGAAGGCCUUCGGGUUGUAAAGUCCGUUUCGGCGGGGAAGAUGAUGACCGGUACCGCGAGAACGAAGCCCCGGCUAACUUCGCGUCAGCAGCCGC